rnacentral:tRNA from 2 species
GCCCGAGUGGCGAAAUGGCAGACGCGACGGACUCAAAAUCCGUUGCCUGGUAAGGGCGUGUGGGUUCGACUCCCACCUCGGGCACCA